rnacentral:rRNA from 1 species
GGCCGCAAGGUUAAAACUCAAAUGAAUUGACGGGGGCCCGCACAAGCGGUGGAGCAUGUGGUUUAAUUCGAUGCAACGCGAAGAACCUUACCUGGUCUUGACAUCCACAGAACUUUCCAGAGAUGGAUUGGUGCCUUCGGGAACCGUGAGACAGGUGCUGCAUGGCUGUCGUCAGCUCGUGUUGUGAAAUGUUGGGUUAAGUCCCGCAACGAGCGCAACCCUUAUCCUUUGUUGCCAGCGGUCCGGCCGGGAACUCA